UACGGAGGAUGCGAGCGUUAUCCGGAUUUAUUGGGUUUAAAGGGUGCGCAGGCGGAUUUUUAAGUCAGCGGUCAAAUCGUGGGGCUCAACCCCAUCCAGCCGUUGAAACUGGGGAUCUAGAGUGUGCGAGAGGUAUGCGGAAUGCGUGGUGUAGCGGUGAAAUGCAUAGAUAUCACGCAGAACCCCGAUUGCGAAGGCAGCAUACCGGUGCACAACUGACACUCAGGCACGAAAGCGUGGGUAUCGAACAGG
rnacentral:rRNA from 1 species